UACAGAGGUCUCAAGCGUUUGUUCGGAUUCAUUGGGCGUAAAGGGUGCGUAGGUGGCGCCGUAAGUCGGGUGUGAAAUUUCGGAGCUUAACUCCGAAACUGCAUUCGAUACUGCGGUGCUUGAGGACUGGAGAGGAGACUGGAAUUCAUGGUGUAGCAGUGAAAUGCGUAGAGAUCAUGAGGAAGACCGGUGGCGAAGGCGGGUCUCUGGGCCGUAACUGACGCUGAGGAGCGAAAGCAUGGGGAGCGAACAGG
rnacentral:rRNA from 1 species